AUUAGUGAUUAAAAUAUUCCCCCAAAAUUUCAUUCCCUCUCUUGCGGUCUUCAAUCUUCUUUACCUCCAAAAAAUAUUCUCCCAAAAUUAUUCAAUUCCCUCCCUUUGAGAGAGUUGCUUAAUUUGCCUAAACCUAAUUUCUUCAAUUGAUGCACAGUAUAUUGAUCAUCAAGAAAUUUCGGCUUCAUGUACAGAUUUUUGUGAUAUUCUUCAAUUGAUGCCCUCUUUGCAAUAAGCUCUUCCGCGCCUACAUACGUACAAACUUCGAGAUAGAUUUGAAAGACUCGAGAUUGACAAAUUAUAUUAAUAGACUAUACAAUGGGAGGUAUAGAGAGUUUAAGGCUGAGUUGAGUGCAUACUAAAAGUUGCAGAAGACACAUGAGAUGCAUUAGCCAAUUCUAGUUGGAGAUGCUUGAUAGAGGUGUAGAUCAAUGGAUGGACCUAUGUAAUCAUUUGAAUUCCAAUAAGUUCAAGAAAGCAUCGUCAACAAACAUAGUGAAUCGAUCGAAGAAGAAGUACAAUCAUCAUACUGGUUCACAUCCUUUAGAUGUAACCAUACUUGGUGAAUGUCAUUUAUUCGUGUUUUGAUGAAAUAUUUUGGAUUCAAUGUUAAUUGACAUUACGUUUUAAUUGAUUUGUUAUGAUUUUUAUA